GGCGCUGUCGUCUAAUGGCCUAGGACACAUGGUUUUCAGCCAUGCUAAUGAGAGUUCGAAUCUCUUCGGCGCUA
rnacentral:tRNA from 1 species